rnacentral:rRNA from 1 species
GACGAACGCUGGCGGCGUGCUUAACACAUGCAAGUCGAACGGAAAGGCCCUGCUUUUGUGGGGUGCUCGAGUGGCGAACGGGUGAGUAACACGUGAGUAACCUGCCCUUGACUUUGGGAUAACUUCAGGCAACUGGGGCUAAUACCGGAUAGGAGCUCCUGCUGCAUGGUGGGGGUUGGAAAGUUUCGGCGGUUGGGGAUGGACUCGCGGCUUAUCAGCUUGUUGGUGGGGUAGUGGCUUACCAAGGCUUUGACGGGUAGCCGGCCUGAGAGGGUGACCGGCCACAUUGGGACUGAGAUACGGCCCAGACUCCGACGGGAGGCAGCAGUGGGGAAUAUUGCACAAUGGGCGGAAGCCGGAGGCAGCAACGCCGCGUGCGGGAUGACGGCCUUCGGGUUGUAAACCGAUUUCGCCUGUGACGAAGCGUGAGUGACGGUAAUGGGUAAAGAAGCACCGGCUAACUACGU